GUACACCAAAUAGGCCCGAAUGCACGACGCAGCAUACAGCCGACGCGUGGAUCAGACGAUCCAUGUUGAUGUCAGGAUGCUCUUGUUGUGGUAGCGCCGGGAGGGGGGAUACAGGGAGAGAAAUAAGCCGCUUCAAGAGGCUGGUGUGACCGGGGGUGUUGACAUGCAAUGGAAACAGCGGCAGAGCCUGCGUGGUGUGGCGGUUGCAGUAUUAAAGGCAUGCUAAAUCGGUGGCGGUGGCUGGCGGGGGGAGUUACUCGGCUAGCUGCGUCCGCAAUCCGUUCUUAAUCCUCUUUACUGCGUUACUUGCCGACUGAAGAAGGAGACAAGAGCGGAAACGGUACUUGUUCAAGGCCUACAGAGCUUGCUUCAUCAUGGAGCGUCGUCGUUUUGGUUUGUCGCGCUUGAGACAAGGUCCGUAGUUCGGCACAUGCAUACGGCGAAAGUGGUCAAGGUACGUAACAAUACAUAUCAAGGUGCGGGAUUUAUUAUGGGUUCAAAAUCCCCUACUUACCUAUCCAGCUUGCGUAUGGCGGAAAAUACCCGCAUACACGCACCUCAAUCGUCUGACGCACCAUGCGAUGUCAAUCAACACACGCGCUGUGCCGCCUGCUAUAGAUUGCACAGAAAUGAGGCUUGAGAUUCAUUGCAGCUAUAUGCUGGCAGGUAUGAAUUACAUGCAAAUCAAGCUCCUGUUGGUCCGAGCGCCUUGUUUCCCUUGAUUACAUAUCGUGCGCUUGGUUGCGCCGCGCACGUCAUAAGCUAGCCUAUGUAAAAAGCUGUAUAUCGACAUUACAGAGCGGGUGUGUAUGAUAUUACAACGUGGUGAAAGCUGGGAAUGUCGGGCAGGACUUCCUCUGGCUUUCUCGCUCUGGAAGUCGAAAAGUGUCGAAUGUAGUCGAUCCGCAAAACCGAGGUCAGAACGUGCUUUGUUGCAUAAUAUUAUUGGUUCUUUUUUUGUAUUGUUGAUUUUCAAUUUUCGUUUGCAGUCGUGCAGCUGUUUUAGCGGUCUACGGUAUGAGGCUCCGUUCGUCCGAGCCCGUCCAAGUUUCUCGCGAAACUACACUCGGAAAUCGCUUUAUAGCUUUGUAACAAUGUCCCGAGGAUCGGUCAAAUACACCACUCCAUCCAAACUAUCCUAAGGCGGGUGUUGGCUCCGCGCACUUUUGCCUUUGAAGAGGGCUUUCCCGACGCUUUUCCACACAUUCUCCACAAAAGCUCCACACUUUUUC
rnacentral:lncRNA from 1 species